rnacentral:rRNA from 1 species
UGGGAGAUAUUGCACAAUGGGCGCAAGCCUGAUGCAGCCAUGCCGCGUGUAUGAAGAAGGCCUUCGGGUUGUAAAGUACUUUCAGCGAGGAGGAAGGUGUUGUGGUUAAUAACCGCAGCAAUUGACGUUACUCGCAGAAGAAGCACCGGCUAACUCCGUGCCAGCAGCCGCGGUAAUACGGAGGGUGCAAGCGUUAAUCGGAAUUACUGGGCGUAAAGCGCACGCAGGCGGUCUGUCAAGUCGGAUGUGAAAUCCCGGGCUCAACCUGGGAACUGCAUCCGAAACUGGCAGGCUAGAGUCUUGUAGAGGG